rnacentral:rRNA from 1 species
GAUCCUGGCUCAGAUUGAACGCUGGCGGCAUGCCUUACACAUGCAAGUCGAACGGCAGCAUGAUCUAGCUUGCUAGAUUGAUGGCGAGUGGCGAACGGGUGAGUAAUACAUCGGAACGUGCCCUGUAGUGGGGGAUAACUAGUCGAAAGAUUAGCUAAUACCGCAUACGACCUGAGGGUGAAAGUGGGGGACCGCAAGGCCUCAUGCUAUAGGAGCGGCCGAUGUCUGAUUAGCUAGUUGGUGGGGUAAAGGCCCACCAAGGCGACGAUCAGUAGCUGGUCUGAGAGGACGAUCAGCCACACUGGGACUGAGACACGGCCCAGACUCCUACGGGAGGCAGCAGUGGGGAAUUUUGGACAAUGGGCGAAAGCCUGAUCCAGCAAUGCCGCGUGUGUGAAGAAGGCCUUCGGGUUGUAAAGCACUUUUGUCCGGAAAGAAAUGGCUCUGGUUAAUACCUGGGGUCGAUGACGGUACCGGAAGAAUAAGGACCGGCUAACUACGUGCCAGCAGCCGCGGUAAUACGUAGGGUCCAAGCGUUAAUCGGAAUUACUGGGCGUAAAGCGUGCGCAGGCGGUUGUGCAAGACCGAUGUGAAAUCCCCGAGCUAAACUUGGGAAUUGCAUGGGUGACUGCACGGCUAGAGUGUGUCA